CGAAACGCCAUUAGCUAGCUGUUCCCUUGUCAGAGAAAAACGCCGAACAUGACUUGAUAAAUUGCUGUGGGAAGUUUGGUUCUCCCCAAACUGAGUUAAAAUAAGAGCCAGCAUCUCUUCUGUACUGCAGUGCGUCUUGGACAGCUGGGACGCCAUUUUGUGAAUGGAGCGUGAUCACAUACAGGAUUGCAGUAUGGAGCAUUCGAAACCUGGCCAGACUCUGCAAGAGCCAAACAGCACCUAAUCAUCCCCAAAACCUGGCCUGUGCCGCAGCUAAUCUCGUUCUUCUCCCGGUUUCUCCUCCAAAAAGACGGCACAUGUGCGGAGCCCGUGUCUGCGCACACACCGAUACCAGGCCAAGACUGCCUCGGGUCAGUAUGAGGCUGAUUACCAAAUAUCCUGUUGUUCCCAGUGCCUUAGAAGUGGUUUUACAGCACUGGGAAAUGAUGUUAUAGCCAAAACACCUCUUAACUAACCUCUCGAAAUAUUUCCACCAAAUAUCUUCAAAAUGUGGCAAAUAUUUGUUUUUUGCUGUUGUUUUUUUUUGUUUUUUUUUUAGUCAAGUACAUUCCUCUGAAAUCCUUGUUGAGAUUUCCUUCUGCUUGGAUGGAAAUCUUUAUUUCUCUUCUUCACACCAUCUUAUCCAUCUUCUCCUGCUCGCUCUGUCGUUCCAGUUCAAAAGCUCUGAGCCCAAGGAUUGCUACCAACGAUCAUCAUCAGCCAUUCUGAUAUAAAAGGUUGCUAAAUGUUGCUAAAUAAAACUUGUUCAUACUACACCGAAGAGCAGUGCAAACAUUAUCAUCAGUUAUGAGCUGUUUCUGAACAAAGACACUGUGUUCUGGUUUGGAGAAGAACGGAGAGAGAGAGAAAGAGACAGACACAGAGAGAGAGAGAGAGACAGAGAGACAGAAAGAGAGACAGACACACAGAGAGAGGGACAGGGAGAGAGAGAG